rnacentral:lncRNA from 1 species
CAGGCCUCAGAGUACAAGAUGAAUCAUUCAGAACCAGGACACUGACUUUCUGCUUCAAAAAAUUACUCUUCAUCAACAGUAACCUGGCAACUGCACUUGCUCGCCACCACAAGAGAAUGAAAGACAUGCCAGGAAUGUGCAAGCUAAAUGUACACAACCGUACACCAGCCCCUGAGUUAUUUAUGCUGCACAUAUUCCAGCCACCAGCAGAAAGAGAGCGGCAUUUACAAAUCUGAAUUUCAAAUUGCUAAGAGGCAUUUGAUUGCCCAGCUUGGAUCAGGUGGUCCAGUCAGCAGACACGAUGCAGAAGUCAACAGGUAG